rnacentral:rRNA from 1 species
AUUGAACGCUGGCGGCAUGCCUUACACAUGCAAGUCGAACGGUAACAGGUUAAGCUGACGAGUGGCGAACGGGUGAGUAAUAUAUCGGAACGUGCCCAGUAGUGGGGGAUAGCCCGGCGAAAGCCGGAUUAAUACCGCAUACGACCUACGGGUGAAAGGGGGGGAUCGCAAGACCUCUCGCUAUUGGAGCGGCCGAUAUCAGAUUAGGUAGUUGGUGGGGUAAAGGCCUACCAAGCCUGCGAUCUGUAGUUGGUCUGAGAGGGCGACCAGCCACACUGGGACUGAGACACGGCCCAGACUCCGACGGGAGGCAGCAGUGGGGAAUUUUGGACAAUGGGCGCAAGCCUGAUCCAGCAAUGCCGCGUGCAGGAAGAAGGCCUUCAGGUUGUAAACUGCUUUUGUCAGGGAAGAAAUCCUCUGGGUUAAUACCUCGGGGGGAUGACGGUACCUGAAGAAUAAGCACCGGCUAACUACGUGCCAGCAGCCGCCGCGGUAA